CCUACGGGGGGCUGCAGUGGGGAAUGUUGCACAAUGGGCGCAAGCCUGAUGCAGCGACGCCGCGUGAGCGAUGAAGGCCUUCGGGUCGUAAAGCUCUGUUGUUAGGGAAGAACAAGUACGGGAGGAAAUGACCGUACCUUGACGGUACCUAACGAGGAAGCCACGGCCAACUACGUGCCAGCAGCCGCGGUAAUACGUAGGUGGCAAGCGUUGUCCGGAAUUAUUGGGCGUAAAGCGCGCGCAGGCGGUCUUUUAAGUCUGAUGUGAAAUCUUGCGGCUCAACCGCAAGCGGUCAUUGGAAACUGGGAGACUUGAGUGCAGAAGAGGAAAGCGGAAUGCCACGUGUAGCGGUGAAAUGCGUAGAGAUGUGGAGGGACACCAGUGGCGAAGGCGGCUUUCUGGUCUGUAACUGACGCUGAGGCGCGAAAGCGUGGGGAGCAAACAGGAUUAGAUACCCUUGUAGUC
rnacentral:rRNA from 1 species